GACGAACGCUGGCGGCGUGCUUAACACAUGCAAGUCGAAGAUAGUGGCGAACGGGUGAGUAAUACGUGGGUAACCUGCCCUCCUUUUUUGGCUAAUCCUUGGGAACGGGGUCUACUACCGAAUAGAGGGGGAUGGGCUCGCGGCCUAUCAGCUUGGUGGUGGGGUGAUGGCCUACCAAGGCGGUGACGGGUCGCCGGCAUGAGAGGGCAACCCGGAACAUUGGCACUGCGAAACGGCCCAGACGCGGACGGGGGGCAGCAGUGGGGGAUAUUGCAGAAUGGGCGAAAGCCUGAUGCAGCGAGGACGCGUGGGGGAUGAAGGCUUUCGGGUUGUAAACGUCUUGAGCAAUCGAAUGGGUAGGUGGAGAAGAAGCGCCGGCUAACUACGUGCCAGCAGCCGCGGUAAUUC
rnacentral:rRNA from 1 species